CUACGGGAGGCAGCAGUAAGGAAUAUUGGACAAUGGGCGGAAGCCUGAUCCAGCCAUGCCGCGUGAAGGACGAAGGCGCUCAGCGUUGUAAACUUCUUUUGGGCGGGGAUAACAGUCCCGACGUGUCGGGAUUUGAAAGUACCGUCAGAAUAAGCACCGGCUAACUCCGUGCCAGCAGCCGCGGUAAUACGGAGGGUGCGAGCGUUAUCCGGAAUCACUGGGUUUAAAGGGUGCGUAGGCGGCGAGGUAAGUCAGUUGUGAAAUCUCUUGGCUCAACCAAUGAAAUUGCGAUUGAUACUGCUUUGCUUGAAACAGGUUGAGGUGGGCGGAAUGUGGCAUGUAGCGGUGAAAUGCUUAGAUAUGACACAGAACACCGAUUGCGAAGGCAGCUCACUAAACUGUAACUGACGCUGAGGCACGAAAGCGUGGGGAUCAAACAGGAUUAGAAACCCGUGUAGUCC
rnacentral:rRNA from 1 species